rnacentral:rRNA from 1 species
UGGCGCACGGGUGAGUAAUGUAUAGUUAAUCUGCCCUACACUGGAGGACAACAGUUAGAAAUGACUGCUAAUACUCCAUACUCCUUCUUAACAUAAGUUAAGUUGGGAAAGUUUUUUCGGUGUAGGAUGAGACUAUAUUGUAUCAGCUAGUUGGUGAGGUAAUGGCUCACCAAGGCUAUGACGCAUAACUGGUCUGAGAGGAUGAUCAGUCACACUGGAACUGAGACACGGUCCAGACUCCUACGGGAGGCAGCAGUAGGGAAUAUUGCUCAAUGGGCGAAAGCCUGAAGCAGCAACGCCGCGUGGAGGAUGACACUUUUCGGAGCGUAAACUCCUUUUCUUAGGGAAGAACAAUGACGGUACCUAAGGAAUAAGCACCGGCUAACUCCGUGCCAGCAGCCGCGGUAAUACGGAGGGUGCAAGCGUUACUCGGAAUCACUGGGCGUAAAGGACGCGUAGGCGGAUUAUCAAGUCUUUUGUGAAAUCUAAUGGCUUAACCAUUAAACUGCUUGAGAAACUGAUAAUCUAGAGUGAGGGAGAGGCAGAUGGAAUUGGUGGUGUAGGGGUAAAAUCCGUAGAGAUCACCAAGAAUACCCAUUGCGAAGGCGAUCUGCUAGAACUCAACUGACGCUAAUGCGUGAAAGCGUGGGGAGCAAACAGGAUUAGAUACCCUGGUAGUCCACGCCCUAAACGAUGUAUACUAGUUGUUGCUGUGCUAGUCAUGGCAGUAAUGCACCUAACGGAUUAAGUAUACCGCCUGGGGAGUACGGUCGCAAGAUUAAAACUCAAAGGAAUAGACGGGGACCCGCACAAGCGGUGGAGCAUGUGGUUUAAUUCGAAGAUACGCGAAGAACCUUACCUGGGCUUGAUAUCCUAAGAACCUUGUAGAGAUAAGAGGGUGCUAGCUUGCUAGAACUUAGUGACAGGUGCUGCACGGCUGUCGUCAGCUCGUGUCGUGAGAUGUUCGGUUAAGUCCGGCAACGAGCGCAACCCACGUAUUUAGUUGCUAACAGUUUGGCUGAGCACUCUAAAUAUACUGCCUUCGUAAGGAGGAGGAAGGUGUGGACGACGUCAAGUCAUCAUGGCCCUAUGCC